rnacentral:rRNA from 1 species
GACGAACGCUGGCGGCGUGCUUAACACAUGCAAGUCACGGGGUCCGCAAGGGAUAACCGGCGAACGGGUGCGUAACACGUGAGCGACCUGCCUUUCCGCGGGGGAUAGCCGGCCCAACGGCCGGGUAAUACCGCAUACGCUGCUCGAGGGGCAUCCCUUGGGUAGGAAACCUCCGGGGCGGAGAGAGGGGCUCGCGACCUAUCAGCUAGUUGGCGAGGUAACGGCUCACCAAGGCGGCGACGGGUAGCUGGCUGAGAGGACGAUCAGCCACACUGGGACUGAGACACGGCCCAGACUCCUACGGGAGGCAGCAGUGGGGAAUCUUGCACAAUGCGCGAAAGCGUGAUGCAGCAACGCCGCGUGGGGAAGAAGGCC